UUAGAGGAUUUGAAGACUUCAGCUUGCAUACUUGGAGAAUUUGAAGGCUUCAACUUGCAUACUUGGAAGAUUUGAAGACUUCAAUU
rnacentral:pre_miRNA from 1 species